rnacentral:snRNA from 1 species
GCAGGGGAUAGCCAUCUGUCUGUGACUCCAGUCACCCCAGUGACAGACAAAGCUGGAAUAGCUGAUAUGGCUGCCUGGGCAAUUGUCAUCCUGCUUCCUCCCUGCUCCACUGCUCCUCUCUUAGCUGCAAGAUAGGUAGAGGACAACAGUCUCCCUGGAAAGAGGAAAAAUGCUUUUUGAUCCUGGGAACAAGAACCUCAGCAGAUACUAGCUUAGAGGUAUAAUACCUUCUAA